rnacentral:lncRNA from 1 species
GUGUGUUACAUUUUAGUGUUGUGUCGUUGUUCUCCUCUUAUAUUUAAUGCGUUUCCCUCUGUUUUAGUUUGUUACCCCGAUUUUGUUUUUUGUCCAUGGAUUUAUGAGUUUUGAACAGCGGUAUACUACUGUUGCCUUUAUUUAUCACCACCGGACCGGAAUCUCUGCUGGUGGACAAUCUGUCCCGGAGGAUUCUACCAGUCCGGUAGCCUAACAGCAUGAAAACUAGUAGAACAAAAAAUAUUAUACUGGAUGACACGACGCCCAGGAUAAAAAGGUGUCAAUCGGCUGUUGUCAAGGACACAACAACACCGAUUUUAUCAGGUGUCCCCAGGAUCAUCUUAAAUGAUGUUAUGAAAAUGAC